AACGCACAUUGCGCCCCUUGGUAUUCCAUGGGGCAUGCCUGUUCGAGCGUCAUUUGUACCUUCAAGCCCUGCUUGGUGUUGGGUGUUUGUCUGCUGCUCCAGCAGACUCGCCUCAAAUGCAUUGGCAGUCGGCCAUCUCGUAGUAGAGCGCAGCACAUUUUGCACUUUCUACCAGCACGGUCGGCACCCAAUAAGCCUACUCUCACGUUUGACCUCGGAUCAGGUAGGGAUACCCGCUGAACUUAA
rnacentral:misc_RNA from 1 species